UAGGGAAUUUUCCGCAAUGGGCGAAAGCCUGACGGAGCAACGCCGCGUGAGUGAAGACGGUUUUCGGAUUGUAAAGCUCUGUUCUGUGGGAAGAAGACAGUGACGGUACCAUAGGAGAAAGCCCCGGCUAACUACGUGCCAGCAGCCGCGGUAAUACGUAGGGCGCAAGCGUUGUCCGGAAUUAUUGGGCGUAAAGAGCUCGUAGGCGGUUUGUCGCGUCUGCUGUGAAAACGCGAGGCUCAACCUCGCGCCUGCAGUGGGUACGGGCAGACUAGAGUGCGGUAGGGGAUACUGGAAUUCCUGGUGUAGCGGUGGAAUGCGCAGAUAUCAGGAGGAACACCGGUGGCGAAGGCGGGUCUCUGGGCCGUAACUGACGCUGAGGAGCGAAAGCAUGGGGAGCGAACA
rnacentral:rRNA from 1 species